rnacentral:rRNA from 11 species
GGCGCACGGGUGCGUAACGCGUAUGCAACCUACCUUAUACUGGGGAAUAGCCCGAAGAAAUUCGGAUUAAUGCCCCAUAGUAUUGUCGAUUCGCAUGUUUUGACAAUUAAAGAUUACGGUAUAAGAUGGGCAUGCGUCCCAUUAGCUAGAUGGUAAGGUAACGGCUUACCAUGGCAACGAUGGGUAGGGGGCCUGAGAGGGUGAUCCCCCACACUGGUACUGAGACACGGACCAGACUCCUACGGGAGGCAGCAGUGAGGAAUAUUGGACAAUGGAGGCAACUCUGAUCCAGCCAUGCCGCGUGCAGGAAGACUGCCCUAUGGGUUGUAAACUGCUUUUAUACAGGAAGAAACACUCGGACGUGUCCGAGCUUGACGGUACUGUAAGAAUAAGCACCGGCUAACUCCGUGCCAGCAGCCGCGGUAAUACGGAGGGUGCAAGCGUUAAUCGGAAUUACUGGGCGUAAAGCGCACGUAGGCGGAUCAGUCAGUCAGAGGUGAAAUCCCGGAGCUCAACUUCGGAACUGCCUUUGAUACUGCUGAUC